rnacentral:misc_RNA from 1 species
AGACAUUAUGUUCUACUCUAAUUUGAUAUUAACCUUCAUAUCAGCAAAAAUGUUGGCUCCUAAUUUCUACAUAGUUGAAGGAAAAAGUACAAAAUGUAAGCAAAACUUAGACCAAGAUACCAUCAAAUUCCUCAUUUGGAAUCGACAUAAUAUGAUUUACCCAGAGAUACUCAAAUAUAAUCAAGAUAGGAGUAAAUUGUUUAAUCAAUAUCUCCCAACAAAGUUCCUUGUUCAUGGUUAUCGAGACGUUGGAGACACUAAUUGGAUCCAAAAGGCUAAGAUUGAGUAUUUAAGGAGAGAGAACUGCAAUGUAAUUUCCAUAGAUUGGAGUGUAAUAUCAUUUCAAAAUUAUAUAUCUGCAAUAUGGCAUCUAAAGGAAGUUGCAUCAGUGAGUAGGGAUUUCCUAAGCAAUUUGAAAAACUCAAGGAUCCCUGGCCAUCAAAAUUUGACUGCUCUUCAUCCUAUUGGAUUUAGUUUGGGAGCUCAUAUCGUUGGAAUACUUGGAAAGAUGUUUAAGAGUCAACUACCAAGGAUAACUGGACUGGAUCCCGCAAGACCCAUUGUAGAGAUACUCCCAUCAAGCUGGAAAUUAGACAAGAAAUCUGCUCAAUUUGUAGAUGUUAUUCAUGGGGCAGGUCAUUACCUAACAAUGACUGGAAUGGUAGGGAAUGUUGAUUUCUUUCCAAAUGGUGGGGUGUCUCCACAACCAGGCUGUGAAAGAGAGCCCUUAAACUUGGUUUGCUCACAUUUACGAGUCGCUGAUCUCUACGUAGAGAGCAUUAAUAGUCCAAUAGGGUUCAAAUCUCGGCUUUGCAACUCUUGGAGAUUAUUUGAAACUCGUCAGUGCAAUAGAAAUCCAACAAACUGGAUGGGAUAUCGUGUCGAUAAACAUAUAGAAGGAAAAUUUUUCCUAUUUACGCGCUCAUAUUCUCCGUUUGCUAUUCCUUUAUGACAAUUUUAUAAAUUCUAAUCAUAGGUAGAGAUAAAAAAUAUAGAGUGGUUACUUGAAGAAAAAAUUGAAGAGAGAGACAGCUCAUGAAUACUACAACUAAAGGAUCAUAACAUUCAAAUUUUAUAUAGAAAAUAGCCGUUUCGUCUUACUUAAUAAUGUGAUUUUAGGGGCCUAACAGACUUAACGUAGUUCAAAUUUUUCUCUUAUCAAAAUGACAAUUCAUCAAUCUCAAUUUUCUCUCUUAUGAAGGAGUAUGAUCUCUUAAAGGAAUCUCCACAAUUGGUUUCUAAUUUUGCCUUGAAUCGCAUGAAGCCUAUAACAAUACUAUGAUGAACAUUUUCAUGUUCGAUUUUUUCUUAUAAUUUCCUAAUAUUCUCGUUUGUUCUAGUAAAUACUUAUUUUAAUAAAAUGUGUUUUAUAAUAUUA